rnacentral:tRNA from 1 species
GUCCCCGUAGCUCAGCAGGAUAGAGCGAUCGCCUCCUAAGCGAUAGGUCGUGGGUUCGAAUCCCGCCGGAGACGCCA